rnacentral:tRNA from 1 species
GUCUGGGUGGCUCAGUCGGUUGAGUGUCUGACUUCGGCUCAGGUCAUGAUCUCACAGUUCGUGAGUUCGAGCCCCGCGUCAGGCU